CAAGUCGAGCGAACAGAUGAAGUGCUUGCACUUCUGACGUUAGCGGCGAACGGGUGAGUAACACGUAAGGAAUCUACCUAUAAGCGGGGGAUAACAUUCGGAAACGGGUGCUAAUACCGCAUAAUAUCUUCUUCCGCAUGGAAGAAGAUUGAAAGACGGCUCUGCUGUCACUUAUAGAUGACCUUGCGGUGCAUUAGUUAGUUGGUGGGGUAAUGGCCUACCAAGACGAUGAUGCAUAGCCGACCUGAGAGGGUGAUCGGCCACAUUGGGGCUGAGACACGGCCCAAACUCCUACGGGAGGCAGCAGUAGGGAAUCUUCCGCAAUGGGCGAAAGCCUGACGGAGCAAUGCCGCGUGAGUGAAGAAGGCCUUCGGGUCGUAAAACUCUGUUAUAAGAGAAGAACAAAUUGUAGAGUAACUGCUACAGUCUUGACGGUAUCUUAUCAGAAAGCCACGGCUAACUACGUGCCAGCAGCCGCGGUAAUACGUAGGUGGCAAGCGUUGUCCGGAUUUAUUGGGCGUAAAGGGAGCGCAGGUGGUUUCUUAAGUCUGAUGUGAAAGCCCACGGCUUAACCGUGGAGGGUCAUUGGAAACUGGGAAACUUGAGUACAGAAGAGGAAUGUGGAACUCCAUGUGUAGCGGUGGAAUGCGUAGAUAUAUGGAAGAACACCAGUGGCGAAGGCGACAUUCUGGUCUGUUACUGACACUGAGGCUCGAAGGCGUGGGGAGCAAACAGGAUUAGAUACCCUGGUAGUCCACGCCGUAAACGAUGAGUGCUAGGUGUUGGAGGGUUUCCGCCCUUCAGUGCCGCAGUUAACGCAUUAAGCACUCCGCCUGGGGAGUACGACCGCAAGGUUGAAACUCAAGGAAUUGACGG
rnacentral:rRNA from 1 species